rnacentral:rRNA from 1 species
ACGGACCUUUCGGGGUUAGUGGCGGACGGGUGAGUAACACGUGGGAACGUGCCUUUUGGUUCGGAAUAGCUCCUGGAAACGGGUGGUAAUGCCGAAUGUGCCCUUCGGGGGAAAGAUUUAUCGCCAUUAGAGCGGCCCGCGUCUGAUUAGCUAGUUGGUGAGGUAAAGGCUCACCAAGGCUACGAUCAGUAGCUGGUCUGAGAGGAUGACCAGCCACAUUGGGACUGAGACACGGCCCAAACUCCUACGGGAGGCAGCAGUGGGGAAUCUUGCGCAAUGGGCGAAAGCCUGACGCAGCCAUGCCGCGUGAAUGAUGAAGGUCUUAGGAUUGUAAAAUUCUUUCACCGGGGACGAUAAUGACGGUACCCGGAGAAGAAGCCCCGGCUAACUUCGUGCCAGCAGCCGCGGUAAUACGAAGGGGGCUAGCGUUGCUCGGAAUUACUGGGCGUAAAGGGAGCGUAGGCGGACAUUUAAGUCAGGGGUGAAAUCCCAGAGCUCAACUCUGGAACUGCCUUUGAUACUGGAUGUCUUGAGUGUGAGAGAGGUAUGUGGAACUCCGAGUGUAGAGGUGAAAUUCGUAGAUAUUCGGAAGAACACCAGUGGCGAAGGCGACAUACUGGCUCAUUACUGACGCUGAGGCUCGAAAGCGUGGGGAGCA